rnacentral:rRNA from 1 species
UCGUACGCUUCUUUUUCACCGGAGCUUGCUCCACCGGAAAAAGAAGAGUGGCGAACGGGUGAGUAACACGUGGGUAACCUGCCCAUCAGAAGGGGAUAACACUUGGAAACAGGUGCUAAUACCGUAUAACAAUCGAAACCGCAUGGUUUUGAUUUGAAAGGCGCUUUCGGGUGUCGCUGAUGGAUGGACCCGCGGUGCAUUAGCUAGUUGGUGAGGUAACGGCUCACCAAGGCCACGAUGCAUAGCCGACCUGAGAGGGUGAUCGGCCACAUUGGGACUGAGACACGGCCCAAACUCCUACGGGAGGCAGCAGUAGGGAAUCUUCGGCAAUGGACGAAAGUCUGACCGAGCAACGCCGCGUGAGUGAAGAAGGUUUUCGGAUCGUAAAACUCUGUUGUUAGAGAAGAACAAGGAUGAGAGUAACUGUUCAUCCCUUGACGGUAUCUAACCAGAAAGCCACGGCUAACUACGUGCCAGCAGCCGCGGUAAUACGUAGGUGGCAAGCGUUGUCCGGAUUUAUUGGGCGUAAAGCGAGCGCAGGCGGUUUCUUAAGUCUGAUGUGAAAGCCCCCGGCUCAACCGGGGAGGGUCAUUGGAAACUGGGAGACUUGAGUGCAGAAGAGGAGAGUGGAAUUCCAUGUGUAGCGGUGAAAUGCGUAGAUAUAUGGAGGAACACCAGUGGCGAAGGCGGCUCUCUGGUCUGUAACUGACGCUGAGGCUCGAAAGCGUGGGGAGCAAACAGGAUUAGAUACCCUGGUAGUCCACGCCGUAAACGAUGAGUGCUAAGUGUUGGAGGGUUUCCGCCCUUCAGUGCUGCAGCUAACGCAUUAAGCACUCCGCCUGGGGAGUACGACCGCAAGGUUGAAACUCAAAGGAAUUGACGGGGGCCCGCACAAGCGGUGGAGCAUGUGGUUUAAUUCGAAGCAACGCGAAGAACCUUACCAGGUCUUGACAUCCUUUGACCACUCUAGAGAUAGAGCUUCCCCUUCGGGGGCAAAGUGACAGGUGGUGCAUGGUUGUCGUCAGCUCGUGUCGUGAGAUGUUGGGUUAAGUCCCGCAACGAGCGCAACCCUUAUUGUUAGUUGCCAUCAUUUAGUUGGGCACUCUAGCAAGACUGCCGGUGACAAACCGGAGGAAGGUGGGGAUGACGUCAAAUCAUCAUGCCCCUUAUGACCUGGGCUACACACGUGCUACAAUGGGAAGUACAACGAGUCGCGAAGUCGCGAGGCUAAGCUAAUCUCUUAAAGCUUCUCUCAGUUCGGAUUGUAGGCUGCAACUCGCCUACAUGAAGCCGGAAUCGCUAGUAAUCGCGGAUCAGCACGCCGCGGUGAAUACGUUCCCGGGCCUUGUACACACCGCCCGUCACACCACGAGAGUUUUAACACCCGAAGUCGGUGAG